GGUUGAUCCUGCCAGUAGUCUAUGCUUGUCUCAAAGAUUAAGCCAUGCAUGUGUCAGUAUAAAACCAAUAUGGUUGAAACUGCGAACGGCUCAUUAUAUCAGUUAUCGUUUACUCGAUUAAAGUGAAGCUUCGGCUUGACGGAUAACUGUGGGAAACCUAUAGCUAAUACGUGAAAAAGGUGGUAAAACACCCGUCCAGCCUAUUUCCUUCGGGGGAUGGGUUUGGAAGAGUUUAUUAGUCAUAUAUCUGUUUUACUCUUUACGGGGUAGGCAGAGGGGAUCCAUACAACAG
rnacentral:rRNA from 1 species